GCCUUCGCGGAUUUUGGCUUUCUUACAACGUACAGUUUGCCCGUUCCCUAAAGCCCUGGGACGGUCUUGAAUUGGAUUUGAUAUCGUGGAAAAAGAGUGUGGUUUUCAGGGACCUGCGUAUGCCAUGAAUGUUGAAAAUGCUAAAAUGCACCAUCUGACUUGGAAUCAACAAACCUGAGCCAGCCAAACAGGAAAGUGCAUAAAUGAAAUUUGGUUUGGAGAGAGAAGAAGACAGGAGACUUUCACACCGGAACAGGCUACCCACAGCCUAAACAACACACAGGAGCCAAGACAGCAAGAGGGUGAAGUGCUGGGAAGUGUUUACAUCUCCCUGCUCCAGAGAGUAUGACCUCACUAACUAUUCUAAAUACGGGAGAUAAGGCACUGCUGCUGUUGCUCAUCCUUCUCUCAGAUAAAAUAAGCUGGUGCAUGAGGCACCAGAGCAUUUCUUGAAGGAUACAGGAAUAUUAGACCAAAAUGCUGUUUUAAAUAAUUGUUCAUAAUGGAAAAGACAAAUAGGUUGGCUAUCAAGAGUUCCACCCACUCACUUGUCCACAUUUUCCUCAAGUGCUGUCAGCUUCCAUGAGCUUUUCAAUGCUGCCACAAGUGCCCAAAUUAAAAA